UCCCGCAGACAGACUCAUUUUGCCGGAAAACGAAUCUGACAUGCCAUCUCGAGAUUUUAACCAAGGAAAGACAAGUUGAUGUGCUUUGAUUUGAGGGGUCACUCACUACCGAACGAAAAUUAGGGACAUCGCUAUGAGAAGAAACGUUAACAUUGUCGCCUAUGGGAAAACAAUUAGUGGACUGUACCCAUAUUAGGAAGCCUAUAAGUUUAUGGUGAUUGGUACAGGAAAAACAUGAGGUCCAUGCAGAUGGUGUUUAAAACUAUUGGCCAGCAAAUGCACACCCAUUUGAAUACAUCUUGAAAAAGAACCAGCAAAAUGUGACAGUCGGCAAAAUAUAGGUUCCCGCAGACAGACUCAUUUUGCCGGAAAACGAAUCUGACAUGCCACCUCGAGAUUUUAACCAAGGAAAGACAAGUUGAUGUGCUUUGAUUUGAGGGGUCACUCACUACCGAACGAAAAUUAGGGACAUCGCUAUGAGAAGAAACGUUAACAUUGUCGCCUAUGGGAAAACAAUUAGUGGACUGUACCCAUC